rnacentral:rRNA from 1 species
GACGAACGCUGGCGGCGUGCUUAACACAUGCAAGUCGAACGCUGAAGCUUGGUGCUUGCACUGGGUGGAUGAGUGGCGAACGGGUGAGUAAUACGUGAGUAACCUGCCCUUGACUCUGGGAUAAGCCUGGGAAACUGGGUCUAAUACUGGAUAUGACCUCCUGUCGCAUGGUGGGGGGUGGAAAGGGUUUGUACUGGUUGUGGAUGGGCUCACGGCCUAUCAGCUUGUUGGUGGGGUAAUGGCCUACCAAGGCGACGACGGGUAGCCGGCCUGAGAGGGUGACCGGCCACACUGGGACUGAGACACGGCCCAGACUCCUACGGGAGGCAGCAGUGGGGAAUAUUGCACAAUGGGCGCAAGCCUGAUGCAGCGACGCCGCGUGAGGGAUGACGGCCUUCGGGUUGUUAACCUCUUUCAGCACGGAAGAAGCGAAAGUGACGGUAC